rnacentral:rRNA from 1 species
AGCGAACGCUGGCGGUAGGCCUAACACAUGCAAGUCGAACGGUAGCACAGUAAGAGCUUGCUCUUACGGGUGGCGAGUGGCGGACGGGUGAGGAAUACAUCGGAAUCUACUUUUUCGUGGGGGAUAACGUAGGGAAACUUACGCUAAUACCGCAUACGACCUACGGGUGAAAGCAGGGGAUCUUCGGACCUUGCGCGAUUGAAUGAGCCGAUGUCGGAUUAGCUAGUUGGCGGGGUAAAGGCCCACCAAGGCGACGAUCCGUAGCUGGUCUGAGAGGAUGAUCAGCCACACUGGAACUGAGACACGGUCCAGACUCCUACGGGAGGCAGCAGUGGGGAAUAUUGGACAAUGGGCGCAAGCCUGAUCCAGCCAUACCGCGUGGGUGAAGAAGGCCUUGGGUUGUAAAGCCCUUUUGUUGGGAAAGAAAAGCAGCAGGUUAAUACCCCGCUGUUCUGACGGUACCCAAAGAAUAAGCACCGGCUAACUUCGUG